UACGUAGGGCGCAAGCGUUAUCCGGAAUUAUUGGGCGUAAAGAGCUCGUAGGCGGUUUGUCGCGUCUGCCGUGAAAGUCCGGGGCUCAACUCCGGAUCUGCGGUGGGUACGGGCAGACUAGAGUGCGGUAGGGGAGAUUGGAAUUCCUGGUGUAGCGGUGGAAUGCGCAGAUAUUAGGAAGAACACCAGUGGCGAAGGCGGCUCACUGGUCCGGUACUGACGCUGAGGUGCGAAAGCGUGGGGAGCAAACAGG
rnacentral:rRNA from 1 species